rnacentral:rRNA from 1 species
AUACGGAGGAUGCAAGCGAUAUCCGGAUUCAGUUGGGUUUAAAGGGUGCGCAGGCGGAUUGGUAAGUCAGGGGUGAAAUCCCACAGCUCAACUGUGGAACUGCCUUUGAUACUGUCAGUCUAGAGUAUAGUUGAAGUUGGCGGAAUGUGUCAUGUAGCGGUGAAAUGCUUAGAUAUGACACAGAACACCGAUCGCGAAGGCAGCUAGCUAAGCUAUAACUGACGCUCAUGCACGAAAGCGUGGGGAUC